CUUCUGAGCUAUGCCACAUCAGAUCAGAAAAUCAGCCACUAAAAUUGCAGUAAUCAACCAUGUCAACAACAUGUGGGUCCCACUAGAAAAAAAAAUUAUACUAAUGAGCUUCGUUACUUUACUUAAAGAUGAUACCCAAUUGGUCUAUGUUAUAAUGAAGGUCGUGUAUAUCUAAUGGGCUUCGUGAGUCAAAAUAAAAAAGUCAUCGAUUUUCUUUUGCGAUUAGAUUUUCUAUGUAAAGCCUAUAUGGUUAAGCAUCGUCGUCGAAGUGGAGAUAGGGUUUUCUUCAUAGCUUCAGACAAAUCUGGAAAACUCAGCUCACCCUUUGUCAAGUUGACAUCUGUCAUCGUGUUUUUUUUUUUUAUGUUUUAGACGAUAUGUCAAUGAGUUUGAAUUACGAUUAAUGUUUGGCCCAAACUUUAACUUACACAUAGGCCCAUAUCAGAAAACUUAAUUGAGCUUGAAGUUACGGUGGAUUCGUGGAGAGCAUGAGAUUUGCAUUAACAUCGUCCUCUCCACUUCCUGCCGGGAGUAACUGACCUCAAUUAUGCUUCCCAAUAAAUUAUCCCCACUAGGUCCUAUUGAAUGGAGAUCCUUUGGUUUCUCUGCUAAGCGUAUUUUCUGUAUAUAUAUAUAUAUAUAUAUCGUCCUCUUCCUUCAGAUGAGAUUCAUGCUUUUAGAUUCUCUAUACCACACGAUACCUAGCCAAACUGAAACUCACUGUGAUGAUGAUUUUCCAAAUCUACUUUUCCGAUCUGGAGGUGGGGCGUUGUAAGGAGACUAGCAAUCUGCAGAAGGUAGGCGAGCUAAUUGGGGUAAACAUGGUGUUACUGGACAAGAAGGCUGAUGUUGAUGGGAACAGGACAAACUGCCUAAAUCGAGCUCAUUGCUGCAACAAUGCUUGAAAGUAAUGAGAAUCAUCAUGAAGUUGGUCAGCAGGGGAAGGAUCCUGUCAACGAGUCUGAUGUGGAGUUAGCUUAUGUAAGAGUCUGAGAUGGUUCUAGGAGAUGGAAGGGGAAGAAGGAAUAAGGAAUAAUCAGGUGUGAGCUGGAGAGGCUGCACAGGUAGUUAACGGAGCACAUGGGCUGUUUGCUCAAGUGGCGAGUCUUAUAUAUAUUGACUGAGGAAUGUUGUGAGGGUUAUAAAUAGAUUUGAUCAAAGUUGAAAGGGAGGAGAGAGACUCCCAAUAUUAAUUCUCUCAAAUCAUGUAUACAGUUUUAUCAGAUCUAUACAAUCAUCAUUUCUCAGAAUAUCUCAUAACAGCCUUCCAACAUUUUGACAAAGACAGCAGCAGAACGUUUGUGUACAUUCCAAUAGACUAAUUAGAAGCUGCACUGAAGGAAUAUGGAAUGGGAGAUGAUGCAACAACCAAAGAGGUUUCCUCAUACGACGAUUCAUAUAACGUAAGCAAAAACAAUUUACCAUAUCAUCUCUGGCUGUCGUAUUUAAAGAAUGUAUUUUCCCAUUUAAGAGUUCUUCUCACGACUGAGCUUCACUGCGCAUCAUCCAUUUUUAAAGUGUUGUUGUCGUAUUAUUUACACUCAGUGAAAAAACAACACGAAUCAGUUUUGAUGUUAA